CGAACUAAAAACUAAAUAAUUAAAGUAAAACUGAAACGGGUUGGAAAAUAAAAUUCUUCUUAUUUAAAAUAACUCAAUAAUUCUUUACAAGGCUAAAAUAAAGAAAUACAAAAUUCUAUCCUCACACUUAAUCCGAUCUCAUCCCGUCUACCCUCUUAGAUUGUUUAGUUCGUGAACCUGCAUAACAGAGGGUUGAGCUUCAACAGCUCAGUAGGGACAUAACCUUAUUACAGUAAAUUAACAAUAUUAAAUUAAGUGUCAUAAAAUCAUGUAAUCAAGUACCAAAUCAUUAUCAUCAACAAUGCAUGAGUGCGAUACAAUACUCUUCAUCUCUACCCGUUAAUUCAUAUAAUAAAACACACGGACCUGCACGUCCCAUACCGUGCAUUUUACCUCUGCAGUGGCGGUUCGAAUGUUUUAAUAUACAAAUUAACCCCCUAGUAACUCAAUCAUCCCAAUUUCCCCUUUUGUUAGUCAUCUUGCCUAAACUCUUCGUCGCCAGUCCCGAAUUACCCUUAAAGAAUCUGUGCACUGUGGGCUCACCUGAGACCUGGUACCUGCUAAGAGUUUGGCUAAACUACACAAAAGAUCAUUUCCGUUACCCUCUUUCCAAAUUCCUUUCUCACCAACAAAGUUCCAACCACUUCUGACACAUGAGUGAUGCACAAGUAACGUUAUUACAUCUUUCAAAUGUCACAAUAUAUCUCAACGAAUAACAUUCCAGUAGUACUAACAAGUAUACAACCAACUGAAGCAAUAAUCCAAACAACAUCCAACCACAUUAAUCAACCAACACAAAUAUAGUACUUCACGAAAUUUAAUAGAAUCAAUAUCUAUAAAGGUCUGCCGUAUUUCCCCUAUAUAGAUUCCAAAGCAUUGCUCCGAGAUAAUAACACAAGAAACCACAACUGUGAUAAGCUCCUAUUCACAAGUAUAAGAACCAAAUGCCUUAUAUGAACUUUAAUACUAAUCAACACACUUAAAACUCAUCAGUUCCACGGUACUCAAUUCAAAAGUCAUUUGGUUGACUAUAAUGCUGUACAAAAUAGUUUCUUAUAUAGCAAACAUGUAUAGUGCUUAUUCAAAAGCCUUUUGCCUUCAAAACCAUUCAAGUAAUAUGUAUAAAUUAAGGAGUAAUUAGGUUUUCAUCCUUAUUUUUACUACUCUAUUGAUUAAAACCUUAUUACUUUUCAAUUUUUGAUCAAGGUCAUUUGUAUUAAUAAUAUCAUUAAUUAUUUCAAUAAUAAAAUAUUUUUUAUUUCUAAAUAUAUUCAUUUAAUAUUAAAAAUGUUACAAUUAGUAUAUUUAUAUUUAUGGCUAAAUUUUUUAUCAUAUAUUUUUAUUUUUAGUUUGUACCCAUUUUUAAUUUGCAACCCUUUUUUAAUUUGUACCAAUUUUCCUUUCAAUUUUAAUUUGUACCCAUAUAUUAAUUUCUUUUUGUGCCCAUAUUUUUUAAAGUUUUAUUUGUAUUGUACCCAUAUUUUUUUAUUUAUUUGUACCCAUUUUUAUUUUUGCUAAAUGUACCCAUUUUGAAGAAUGUACCCAUGUUUUGAUACAAUAAUUUUUUGGUUAUUUUUUAUGAAUGUACCCAUGUUUACACACACACACACACAAUAGUAUAUUUAUAUUUUAAUAUUUUUAAUCCCACAAAUUAUGUUUUUUUAUUUAAAAUCUCAUUACUAUAAACAACUAUAAAUUUUAAUUUUUAAUUUAAAAAAAUAUAGUAACGUACAUAGAAAUAAAUUAUCAAUUAAUUUUAGGGACUUGGAUCAAAAAUUGAAAACCAACAAAGUUUCAGUCAAAGAUUAUUCAUAACUAGGGACCGUAUCCAAAGUCUCCCAUAAAUUAAACUGUACAUAAAACCAUUUACCAACAUGCUUAUUCAUUUAACAAAAGACAUACAUCCAUACAUAGACAUAUAUAUGCAGUACAUGCUUCGACUCUUCUCUUUGCAAUAGAGCACCAUCCAAGUCUCCUAAAGUUAGGUGCCUUUCCAAAUAGGAAUCAAUAUGGUAUUGUUAUGUAACAUGCGAAAUACAGAACAUAAGAGGCUAUCACUAAAGAACAACAUGAAUAGAAAGACUUUUCUAUAAAACUAAAUCAGCAGUAUGAACGAAUUCAAAUACAUAUGCAUAACGAUGCCCAGCAGCCCUUUUUUGGUUUAGAUACAAACAUUUAUAAUUUAUUAAUAACAUACAGUGAUAUGAGACAAAUAACUAAGAUGAAAACCUGAAAGGAAAACUCUUUAAACCUGACAGAGAGUAGACCCUGAUAGAAAACGGUUCAUCUAGCCAGCGAAGAAAACCGAACAAUAACAUUCUAUUUAUAGGAGAAGGAAGUUGGCACAGAGGAAGGUGAGAUCAGACCAAGCAAACUUACACCGUCUCAAAGCUAUCGAUAGGAAUGAUGUAAAAGCCCUUUAAUUGGCUAUGGUUUUGGUCCAAUUAGAACUGAACAAACAGCUUAAUAAAAUAAUGUAAAAGGAAAGAAAAUGAAUAAUAUGAAUAAUAUGAAUAUAUAGUUCAAAUACUACCGUAAUGGUGUACUGAACUUAUUUGGUUCAAAAUAAUAGUAAAUUAGAGUAUAGAAAAAUGAAAUAAAGGAAUUAACAAUUAAAUAAGAAGUAAUACAAAACUUUUUGAAAUUAAUAAGUAUACACAACACAUAAUUAUAUAUGAUUAUUUUUGAAAAUACAGGUCCUCACAGCUUAAGAUUCAAAGCAUGACAAAGCUUCAUGCAUGUAUACCAAGGAUUUAAGGGACUUCAUAUACAAACUGUAUUUUUACAUCGUCCAAGUUUGAAGUGAUUUUUAGAAAGGGUCAAUUAAUUUUAAUUUUCUUAAUUAUAUUCUACUUUAAGUUUUAAUUAAAAUCGUAUGAACUUAUAUCUUUGAGUUGUAUAUGGGCUAAAUGACGAGUGUGAGAUUCAUUUAUGAUUUAACGUGAUGUAAAAACACUCGUUAUGGAGCUUCGGUUUCUCCUAAAUCAAUGCAUUGUAUACCAAAAUAAUAACCAAUUACACAGCUUCACUAGUAGAAAAACAUGUGUGAACACGAAAUUUUCCUGAAACGAAAGAGACAAGAACAACGUGCACAAACAAAUAUUUGUAUUUUGAUGAUUUUGGGUUACAAUCUCUCUCAAAUUUGAUCCUCUGAUUCGAUCUCCGUAAGGUAUUGAUUUGUGGAUGUUUCGUUGAUCCAAG
rnacentral:lncRNA from 1 species